rnacentral:rRNA from 1 species
CUUGCUCUUAUGAAGUUAGCGGCGGACGGGUGAGUAACACGUGGGUAACCUGCCCAUAAGACUGGGAUAACUCCGGGAAACCGGGGCUAAUACCGGAUAACAUUUUGAACCGCAUGGUUCGAAAUUGAAAGGCGGCUUCGGCUGUCACUUAUGGAUGGACCCGCGUCGCAUUAGCUAGUUGGUGAGGUAACGGCUCACCAAGGCAACGAUGCGUAGCCGACCUGAGAGGGUGAUCGGCCACACUGGGACUGAGACACGGCCCAGACUCC